rnacentral:rRNA from 1 species
GACAGAGGUCCCGAGCGUUAGGCGGAAUCACUGGGCUUAAAGCGUGUGUAGGCGGAUCGUUAAGUGCCUUGUGAAAUCCCAUGGCUUAACCAUGGAACUGCUUGGCAUACUGGCGGUCUUGAGCCACUUAGGGGCUACCGGAACAAAUGGUGGAGCGGUGAAAUGCGUAGAUAUCAUUUGGAACGCCAAUGGUGAAAACAGGUAGCUGGGAGUGUGCUGACGCUGAGACACGAAAGCCAGGGGAGCAAACGGG